rnacentral:tRNA from 2 species
GCCGGCUUAGCUCAAUUGGUAGAGCACCUGACUUGUAAUCAGGGGGUUGAGGGUUCAAGUCCUUUAGCCGGCACCA